rnacentral:rRNA from 1 species
CUACGGGGGGCUGCAGUGAGGAAUAUUGGACAAUGGUCGAAAGACUGAUCCAGCCAUGCCGCGUGCAGGAUGAAUGCCCUAUGGGUUGUAAACUGCUUUUAUACGGGAAGAACACCACCCACGUGUGGGUGACUGACGGUACCGUAAGAAUAAGGACCGGCUAACUCCGUGCCAGCAGCCGCGGUAAUACGGAGGGUCCAAGCGUUAUCCGGAAUCAUUGGGUUUAAAGGGUCCGUAGGCGGGCUAUUAAGUCAGAGGUGAAAGUUUGCAGCUCAACUGUAAAAUUGCCUUUGAUACUGGUAGUCUUGAGUUAUAGUGAAGUGGUUAGAAUAUGUGGUGUAGCGGUGAAAUGCAUAGAUAUCACAUAGAAUACCAAUUGCGAAGGCAGAUCACUAGCUAUAUACUGACGCUGAUGGACGAAAGCGUGGGGAGCAAACGGGAUUAGAUACCCCUGUAGUC